rnacentral:rRNA from 1 species
GUGAGGAAUAUUGGUCAAUGGACGUAAGUCUGAACCAGCCAAGUAGCGUGCAGGAUGAAGGCCCUCCGGGUCGUAAACUGCUUUUGGGUGAGGGUAAAAGGCGGGACGUGUCCUGCGUAUUGCAAGUAUCACCCGAAUAAGGACCGGCUAAUUCCGUGCCAGCAGCCGCGGUAAUACGGAAGGUCCGGGCGUUAUCCGGAUUUAUUGGGUUUAAAGGGAGCGCAGGCGGUUCUUCAAGUCAGCUGUGAAAACGCGGGGCUCAACCUCGCGCCUGCAGUUGAUACUGUUGAACUUGAGUGCACACAGGGAUGUUGGAAUUCAUGGUGUAGCGGUGAAAUGCUUAGAUAUCAUGAAGAACUCCGAUCGCGAAGGCAUAUGUCCGGUGUGUGACUGACGCUGAGGCUCGAAAGCGCGGGUAUCGAACAGGAUUAGAUACCCUUGUAGUCC